CUCCUUCAAAGAGAUCAUAUCAACACUCCCAAGAAGAAAAAGCUGGUAUGGCGAUGAUACUUUUUUGUAUCAAGGCUUUUGGUGUGACACAUUUUUUAUUGAAGGAUUAAUGAGAGCUCAACAAAGUUUUCGAUCUCAACCUUCUGAUAUCGUCAUAUGCAGUGCUAUGAAAACCGGAACAACAUGGUUAAAGUCCCUCACUUUUGCCAUUGUAACAAGAUCCACCUUCGAUGAUUCCACUAACCCUUUAUUUAACAAUCUAUCACAUGAUUGUGUACCCCUUUUAGAGGUUGAUUUAGCCCAAUCUUCCACCAAUCGAGACCCUAAAAAUCCUUUGUUAGCCACACAUACCCCUUACUCUUCUUUACCAAGAUCAAUAAUUGAUUCUAGUUGUAAAAUUGUUUACAUUUGUAGGGACCCUAAGGAUUCAUUAGUUUCGCUUUAUCACUUCUUUGCUAGGUACUUGGCAUCUAAAGACAUGAAACCUCCCGCUUUAGAAGAGGCCUUUGAGCUUUUUUGCCAAGGUGUAAGCUCUUACGGACCUUAUUGGGACCAUGUUCUAGGGUUUUGGAAAGCAAGUUUGGACCGACCUGAUAAGAUUCUUUUCUUGAAAUACGAAGAAAUGAUAGAAGAUACUAUUUUAUACGUUAAGAAAAUAGCUGAUUUCAUCGGUUAUCCUUUCUCUUUUGAAGAACUUGAAAAAGGAUCAGUCGAAAAAAUCGUAGACAUGUGUAGUUUCGAGAAUUUAAGCAAUUUGGAAGUGAAUAAAAGAGGAAAACACCGUGAGGGAACUCCAGCGGUGAUUGAAAACAAGAUGUAUUUCCGAAAAGGUAAGGUUGGGGAUUGGGAGAAUUAUUUGACACCUGAAAUGGCUGCUCGGUUGGACUCGAUAACGUUGCAGAAGCUAAAUGGUUCUGGCUUAACUCUAUGAUUGAAUAAUAAAGCAGCCAUGGGGUACAUUUUGCCUUCUCUGCAAUUUCGACAUAUUAUGUUUCUAAAAAUAAAUUGUGUAUGCUUUUUGCAAGUAGCAACACUUCUCGUGUUGUUCAUGUUAAGAUCAAUUAAAAGUAUAGUUGGUUCAAUCAAUAAAAUUUGAUAUAAGCUGAUUUGAUUUUGUUAGUUUAAUUUUUAUGGAUAAACUACACCAACUCUCCUAAGCUUUGUAUAAAAUUACAUUUCAGUUAUCCAACUUUCAAAAUUUAUAUCAUAGUCACUAACAUUAUCAAAUUGUUACAUUUUUGUCACUCGACUGUUAACUUUAAAGAAGUAACGUUGCACAUUAAUUCAAAAGGUUAAUAGCUAAUUUGGUCCCUGAACUAUAGUUAAAAAAUUAUUUUCACAUUUAAAUUUUUUACAAUAAUUUUAAAAAAGUAAAAAAAAAAGUCUUAAAAAUAAAAUUCAUAUAAAAAACCAGUUGCAGCGAGAAACAACUAAGAAUUUUGCUACCGUCUUUGCUCUUUUUUUCUUUUUUUUUUUCCUCUCUUUUUUCAUGUAGACCGAUGUUGGCUCUUCUCUUCCCAAAUCUUUAAAAAUAAUAUAUAGGUUUUAUUUAUAGCUAAAAGAAAAAUAUUGACUUGAAAAGGUCGGUUUGGAGAAGAAGAAUAGCACUUUGUAUUAUAAAUUUAAAAACAAAACCCAAUCAGUGUAACACCCCAAACCCAACCUAGACGUUGUGACCGAAUCUUAAAAGUUACAUUAACUUCUUGAGAAUUUAGAUUGUUAUUUUCUGAAAUUUCGACUUGUUUUUCUGUAAAAGUAAAUUCUUAGUAAAAAAACUCGUUUUCACUUAUUAGUUGCAAAAAAAAAAAAAAACACCAUUCUACAAUAACGGUUUCUUUAAAACAUUUGUUCUUUACUCGUAAAUUGAAAUAAUAGAAAUACUGUGAACAUGCUUAUUUUUCAGAAAACUAGAUUUCUCAUUUUGUUUUGCAGCGGAAAAACUUUAACUUGUUUAAUUUUGAAAAUCGAACAUUUUUUUUAAUUAACAGAAAUCAUGUAGAAAAUUUAAACUAAUUAACUAAAAACUCAACAAAACCCAAAUCCAAAAAAAAGUUCAAAAAUUAGUUCUACAGUAAAAAGCAUAGUUGAUUGAAUAUGUGAAAUGUGAUUAAAAACAACAUGUAAAAGAAAAUGCGAAAUGAUUUAUAUGAGUCCGAAGGAUCGAUAUGAAAGUUAAAAAAAAUCAAUAGAUUUGAUAUAGAAAUGAUAUGAUUAAAUGAUAUGAUUAAAUGAUAUUUUUUUUAUAGUGGAAAAAGUAGCAUGGUAUGUUAUAAUGAUUUGCCGAUUUGCAUAAUGUAUGUGUCGAAACAAUUUUUUUUAUAAAACGGGAUCGAUUUUAAUUUUGAAAAUGAAAACGAACAUGGGAGUUGCCACCAAUCCUUUUUAUUUAGGUGUGAUCGGAUCACUUUAUAAUUUAAUCAUUUUAAUAAAAGUUUUAAAUUUACUAAAACGAUAAUUUUUGGUCUACAAAAUCCAGAAAAUGGGUUCGGGAGUCAAUUACGCACGAGGAAGGGUUAGCACGCUCGUAACGCCCAGAAAUUGGUACCUAGUUGAUUAAUUAGUGUCUUAGUGUUGAGGAUUGAAAACUUUGAAGAGUUUUAAAAAUACGAUCCUUAAGAAAAACUCGAAUAACAUGGGUUAGAAUUUAGGAUUCUCUUGUUCUGAAGGAAUAUCACAUCCAGCACGUUAGGAUACAAUACUUUAAACCCUCGAAACCAAGAUUACCUUAUGGUUUCCAAAACCCAUAUUUUUGAAAUUUUAAGAGGAUAUUUGGCUAUUUUGUCGAACGAGAAAUUGAAACCCAACACGUUAGGGCACGUUUUCUCGAAUUUCCAAACGUAAAAUAUUGCCUUAUUUUAAAACCCUUUUUUUUUGAAUAAUAGCGAGUACAACACUUGAACGACAUACAUUUGUUUUAUUUAUGAUAAAACAUAAAAGUUUAUUAUAGGUAUAUACAAAUCGAGCGCAACUUUUGAAGUGAUGAAAUGGAAUGAUAAUGGGCCAUAAAAUAACAACUAACGAAUAAAAUGAUACAUUAAUGCAUGACAAGUAUACGAAAACACGAAUAAAUGAAGCAUAGUUCCCACAAUUACAAUAAGCACAGAACAUAUAACAUUUUAAUACCAACAUUAAUAAAGAAAUAAUAUAUGAAAUAAUUUGAAGUAAAUAACAAUAUAAAAUAAGUGAUUUAUAAGAACAAUAAAUAAUAAGGGUUUCAAAUAAACAAUCAAUAGGAAUCUUAAAAUAAAUAAUAACAAAACAGUUUAAAAUAAAUAAAUAAGGUAUGGAACAGUUUUAAAGAAUAUAUGAAAAUUUGAAAGGCAUAUAUAUAUAUACAAUUGAUAAUAUAAAUAUUAUGUAAAACCGUUUAAAACAAAUAAUGUAUGGAACUUAAAAUUAAUAAUGCUAACGAGCCUUCUUUUUUUUAAAAGAAUGAAUAAAAUAAAUUAAAUGGGCCUAGGACGAAAUUGAAUUCGAAUUAAAGAGUCAGGUCUAAAUUAAAAAAAAAGGCCGCCGAGGAUCAAAAUAAGACGCGCCCGAAGAACGAGGGACUUAUUGGGAAAAUAUUCCCUUCCCUCAUGCGCAACGUUCAACACGGACCAGAUUGGAACGAACGGAAAAUCAUGCGGCCCAAAUAAAAAGACAACAUGGAUUAGAUUGCACCACAGCGCAAAAGCGGAGGGACCCCUCACAUAAAUAGACCGUCCAAGCUAGAGGUGCUCAUGGGUUGGGCCGGGCCGGGUUCGGGCCGGGCCAUAAAAAAUUUUGUCCCGGGUCCUACGCCUGGGCUUGGCCCGAAAUAUGGGCCUGAAAUUUUGCCCAUGCCCGGCCCGGGAAAAAUCAUAAUCCCGGGCCCGGCCCAUUUUUUAAUAAAUACCAAAAAAUUAUUUUAAAAAUUAAAAAAAGUAUUUUAAAAAUAUUUUAAAAAUAUUUUAAAAUUAAAUUAAAAAAUUUUAAAAAGUAUUUUAAAAAUAUUUUAAAAUUAAAAAAGUAUUUUAAAAUUUAAAAAAUAAAUAUAUUUAUUAUAUCGGCCCGGCCCGGCCAAAAAAGUUAUGCUCGUUUUUUUGCCCAAGCCCAUAUUUCGGGCCUAUAUUUUUACCCAAACCCUCCCAUACUUCGGGCGGGCCGUCGGGCCGGGCCAGGCCGCCCGGCCCAUGAGCACCUCUAGGCCAAGCAAAACACACGGAUCCUGCUACUGGGUCGGGUCGCGCGCGCGAGUUAAGGGCCAAAACGACGUCGUUUUGGCAACUGAACCCUAACUUAGAAAAUGGCGCCGUUUAAUAACCUUAUUUAAAUCAUUUUUUUAAAAAAAUUCAUUUUUUCAGUGUUUAGAGAAAAAAAAAACUUCAAAACCUCCCAUAUGUCUCUCUCAACCCCACUUGGCCAGCGUGGGUUCCCUCGGAGGAUCUGCCGCACCGCCAUCUGCAACUCUCGACUCAACAAUGUUUGUAUAGUUCCUUUACGUUUUGAUAUAUGACAUGUACUUAAGUUUUGUAUCUUGGAUGGUCAUUUGGAAAAUUGGAUAGUUGAUGUCAAUUUGAAUUUAUGAAUAUGAAAUGUUUAAGUUAUCAUGAACAUUAUGUGAUGUUUAAAUGGUUAAGUGGUGUAAACGAUCAUAUGUAUUAAGUUAGAUUUGAGUUAUGAAUGGUUAAAUUGAUAAACAUGAAUGAUAAUGACAUAGCAAAGGUAGUAUAUGAAGUGUUGAUGUAGGUAUUAUGCUUGAACGGAUUGGUUUCGCAUUGGUUAUUUUGGUUAGGUUAGUAUGGAUUGGUUCCAUAUAAACAUUUCAAAACAGUAUGUCAUGUUGUAACAAGAAAUCGAUAGUGAAUGAUGUCGCGACUUGGAAUCUCCCAAGUUGUGACGUCAACUCGAUAGUUUUAACAUUUUAUAUUUUAGUCCUUAAACGACCUUAGGUUAUCGAAAAAGCUUUCGUAUGCUCGUAUAAACCUUGAAUAUGUUUGUAUAAUAUGAUAUAAUGAUGUAUUGAUCAUAAUUACAUGUAUCAACUGUUGAAUUGAUAAAAUUUAGAUCGUAGUUGUUCCAACAACGAAUGUGACAUCCCAUAACUUGGACCUGAGAUCAAGUUGGUAUGGGGUUUACAAGAAAGGUGGGUUUCGAGAAGAAGAAUAGCACUUUGUAUUAUAAAUUUAAAAACAAAAACUCAAUCAGUUUAGUAAAUGGAGUUAGAGAAGAAAUAAUGGGUUUAGAAAAGAAGUAGAGUACUUUGUGUUAUAAAUUAAAAGAAAAAAAAAUCAAAAAUUUCAAAAAAUUGAAACUUACCAAAGAGUCCAAAUAAAUAUAAUAUAAUAAAACAUUUUGCUUUUCUCUCUUGCUCGAUAGGCCGUUGAUGAUAGAAAUUUUUAUGAUUCUCAAGAAUGAAAGCACUGUUACCCAAGCCCUGAUUUUGUUUCCUGGAAAUUCGAGCAGCAACAAUCGGUCUAAUAAUUAUAACUAGUUAGACUUUUCUAGUUAAUAAAAGACUAUUACGUACCAAUUUUAUAAACUACUAACAAUAUAUAUUUGACAGUUAAAAGUUUUAUUUUACAUAAAACGAAUAUUUAGAAAAUUUUAAUUUAUAUCAAUCUUGACAUACAUGAUCUAUAUGAAUGGAGUAUGAAAUAGGACGGUGAGAUUGUUAAAAUAAAAAUUGUAUAAAAAGUUACUAAAUUAUGCAAAACCACUUUAAUUUUACACCCGUGUAAGUGAAUCUCUCCUCUUAUUUUAUUUUUUAAGUAUUAUAUUAAUAAUUUUUAUCUUACAUGUUUUAUUUAUGUUUUCUGGGUACAUGUUUUAUCUUAAGAUUUGUAUAAUUCUUUACACAAUUAUAAUUCAUUUUACAUAGUUAUAUAAAAUCAUUAAUUUUACAUAAAUUUUGAUAUAUUAUUAUAUUUUGGUUUAGGUUUAUUUCUAUGUGACAUGAUAAUUUUAAUUAUUUAAUUUUUUUUAUCUUCGAAUAAUUUUGUCAAAUAAUUUAAUAAUUGAAUCAUUAUAUAUAGUGUACAAAUCAUAAUAAAAAAUUAAUCUAACUUUACGAAGCAUAAUGAGCAGGUAUAUUCUAGUGAUAUAUUAAAUAUAUUAUAUAACUCUUUUACAUACUUUUUUUACCUUCAAAAAGUCAAAAUCUUGAUCAUUUUAGUCUCUUUUUUUUUAUUAUUAUCAUUUUAGUUUUGAAUCAUCAAAUUUCAAUUAAAUUACCUUUUUUUUUGGACGUAAAAGGUUCACCUAACAAGUAAACUUUUAAACGUGAUAGCCUGUAUAGUAGUGCAUGUGUAUUUUAUUGUUGACGUGGAUGAUUAUUUUCAAAACUUUUAUGAACUUUUUGAAUUUUUAUUUUUAUUUAAUUUAUGAAGUAAGCGCGGACUUUCAUGUGUGUCACCAUGUCACUUCCGUUAAAAUUUUAAUAGUUCAAUUAAUUUUUCCGUUUAAAGAAAAACAAUUUAACAAAAAUUUGAAAAUUUAAAACAAACCGAUCCAAAAAAGUAUCAAGACAAAUGCAUUUAAGAAAAGAGAAAUUAUUUGGUAUACUGCCAGUAGAGCUUUUAUACUCUACAAGCAAAAUCAGGAGUUAAUAAGUAUCCUAUAGAAAAUACCAAUUUUUUAAGAUUACUUAUAAAAAAAAAAAUACACUUCACAGUUCACCCCAAUUAUUGUUAACAAAACCUGAUUCCAAAUCUUUUAAAAUAAUACAAAAAAAUCUAUCAACUAGAUUGUUUAGUGACAAAAUCUUGCAUGGGACAGACCUUGACAAUGGGUAAAUAAGCACUAGCUACAUUUUUUAUUUAUUUAGUCCCUAUAAUUCUAUUUCAAUUCAAGAAAUUACGUGGUGGAUAUAAUAAAAAAUUGUUAUUAAAAGCAAAUAAUUUUCGUCACUAAGUUCACAUGGUUCAAUUACAAAAAAAUUAUUGUGUAAUUGUGAAAGAAAUUACCUUUUCUCUAAAGCUAUUUAUAGACCCAAUUUUUGUCAAAAUAUUUGCACUCAUUUCCCCCUUCUUUUUCCUUUAUGAAAAUGGCCUCCUUCAAAGAGAUUAUAUCAACUCUCCCAAGAAGAAAAAGUUGGAAUGACUCAAAUAACGACUUUUUUUUGUAUCGAGGCUUCUGGUGUUACUCAUUUUUCAUUGAAGGAGUGAUGUCGGCUCAACAAAAUUUCCAAUCUCAACCUUCCGAUAUCGUCAUAUGCAGUGCACCGAAAACUGGAACAACAUGGUUAAAGUCCCUCACUUUUGCCAUUGUCACAAGAACCACCUUCGAUGAUUCCACUAACCCUUUACUUGCCAAUCUAUCACAUGAUUGUGUACCCUUUUUAGAGGUUGAUUUAGCCCAAUCUUCUACCAAUCGAGACCCUAAAAAUCCUUUGUUAGCCACACAUGUCCCUUACUCUUCUUUACCAAGAUCAAUAAUUGAUUCCAGUUGUAAAAUUGUUUACAUUUGUAGGGACCCUAAGGAUUCAUUCGUUUCGUUUUAUCACUUCAUUGCUAGGCGCUUGGCAUCCAAAGACAUAAAGCCCCUUGCUUUAGAAGAGGCCUUUGAGCUUUAUUGCCAAGGUGUAAGCAAUUAUGGACCUUAUUGGGACCAUGUUCUAGGGUUUUGGAAAGCAAGUUUGGACCGACCUGAUAAGAUUCUUUUCUUGAAAUACGAAGAAAUGAUAGAAGAUAUUGUUUUUUACGUUAAGAAAUUAGCUGAUUUCAUCAGUUAUCCUUUCUCUUCUGAAGAAAUCAAAAAAGGGUCAGUCGACAAGAUCAUAAGCAUGUGUAGUUUUGAGAACUUAAGCAAAUUGGAAGUGAAUAAAAGUGGCAAACACCGUGAAGGAACUCCAGGGGUGAUUGAAAACAAGAUCUAUUUCCGAAAAGGUAAGGUUGGGGAUUGGGAGAAUUAUUUGACACCUGAAAUGGCUUCUCGGUUGGACUCGAUAACGUUACAGAAGCUAAAUGGUUCAGGCUUAACUCUGUGAUUGAAUCAUAAAGCAGCCAUGGGGUACAUUGUCCCUUCUCUGCAAUUUCGACAUAUUAUGUUUCUAAAAUAAUUUGU
rnacentral:lncRNA from 1 species